rnacentral:rRNA from 1 species
UACAGAGGGUGCAAGCGUUGUCCGGAAUCACUGGGCGUAAAGGGCGCGUAGGCGGCCCGAUAAGUAGGGGGUGAAAUCUUGCGGCUCAACCGCAAGGCUGCCUUCUAGACUGUCGGGCUUGAGCACAGUAGAGGCAGGUGGAAUUCCCGGUGUAGCGGUGAAAUGCGCAGAGAUCGGGAGGAACACCCGUAGCAAAGGCGGCACUCUGGGCCGGUACUGACGCUGAGGAGCGAAAGCGUGGGGAGCGAACAGG